rnacentral:rRNA from 1 species
CGAGUUACGCAGCAAUGCGUGGCACGCGGCUCAGUAACACGUAGUCAACAUGCCCAGGGGACGUGGAUAACCUCGGGAAACUGAGGAUAAACCGCGAUAGGCCAAGAUUUCUGGAAUGGAUCAUGGCUGAAACCUAUAUGGCCCCUGGAUUGGACUGCGGCCGAUCAGGCUGUUGGUGAGGUAAUGGCCCACCAAACCUGUAACCGGUACGGGCUUUGAGAGAAGUAGCCCGGAGAUGGGCACUGAGACAAGGGCCCAGGCCCUAUGGGGCGCAGCAGGCGCGAAACCUCUGCAAUAGGCGAAAGCCUGACAGGGUUACUCUGAGUGAUGCCCGCUAAGGGUAUCUUUUGGCACCUCUAAAAAUGGUGCAGAAUAAGGGGUGGGCAAGUCUGGUGUCAGCCGCCGCGGUAAUACCAGCACCCCGAGUGGUCGGGACGAUUAUUGGGCUUAAAGCAUCCGUAGCCGGUUUUACAAGUCCCCCGUUAAAUCCAGCUGCUUAACAGAUGGGCUGCGGAGGAUACUAUAAGACUAGGAGGCAGGAGAGGCAAGCGGUACUCAGUGGGUAGGGGUAAAAUCCGUUGAUCCAUUGAAGACCACCAGUGGCGAAGGCGGCUUGCCAGAACGCGCUCGACGGUGAGGGAUGAAAGCUGGGGGAGCAAACCGGAUUAGAUACCCGGGUAGUCCCAGCUGUAAACGAUGCAGACUCGGUGAUGGACUAGCUUCAUGCUAGUCCAGUGCCGCA